AUACUUACCUGGCAGGGGAGAUACCAUGGUCACAAAGGUGGUUUUCCCAGGGCGAGGCUUUUCCAUUGCACUCCGGAUGUGCUGACCCCUGCGAUUUCCCCAAAUGUGGGAAACUCGACUGCAUAAUUUGUGGUAGUGGGGGACUGCAUUCGCACUUUCUCCUG
rnacentral:snRNA from 1 species